AACGCACCUUGCGCCCUCCGGUAUUCCGGAGAGCAUGCUUGUUUGAGUGUCGUAUCAUCCUCAACCCCCAACAUCUUUCUUGCCUCACUCCGGGUGGCGCGAUCGAUCUGCAUUGGGCGUUGGAUCGUGGCCCGUCUGCCGUUUGCCGUCCGCGGAGAACAGCUCGGCCGAAAUGAAGACAAGUGACUGCACCCAAGCGUGUUGAUCGGCUUGAACUCGACGUUGUAAUUGCUUCUUCGUUGAGCUACGAUUUGCGCGUCCGCCCUCCACGGUGGAGCUGGGCUCACUUUGAGAACUACUAUACAUACGAGCAAAAUUGACCUCAAAUCAAGUAGGACUACCCGCUGAACUUAA
rnacentral:misc_RNA from 1 species